rnacentral:rRNA from 1 species
UGUGUAGGUGGUCAGACAAGUUGGAAGUGAAAUCCCCGGGCUUAACCCGGGUGCUGCUUCCAAAACUGUCAGACUUGAGUGUAGGAGAGGAAAAUGGAAUUCCUAGUGUAGCGGUGGAAUGCGUAGAUAUUAGGAGGAACACCAGUGGCGAAAGCGAUUUUCUGGACUAUAACUGACACUGAGGCACGAAAGCGUGGGGAGCAAACAGGAUUAGAUACCCUGGUAGUCCACGCUGUAAACGAUGAAUACUAGAUGUAGGGGGUAUCGACUCCCCCUGUAUCGAAGCUAACGCAUUAAGUAUUCCGCCUGGGGAGUACGGCCGCAAGGUUGAA